GGGUGUGAGGGUGAUCUGGCUGCAAAUAUCACCCUAUAGACUGCCAGAGUUGAUUUAGCUGAUCUAGCUGGCUAGACAGGUGUCCCCUUCCUCCCUCACUGCUCCACAGGCAUCUCUGCCAAAGCUUCACUUCUGGUUGAAGAGGAUGACCAUUCUCUAGUCAAGGGUCUAUCAGCCACUGCACUCUCCUGCUAGAACUUCCAAAUGAGCUCUCAAGAGCCAGCCAGGGUAUAGCAGCAGCAGGAGCUGGUCAUGCACACACAGACACACAGGCAGAGCACGGGCUCUGAGGCUGGGU
rnacentral:snRNA from 1 species